UUUUAGCAUGGAAUAAUGAAUAGGACGUGUGGUUCUAUUUUGUUGGUUUCUAGGACCGCCGUAAUGAUUAAUAGGGACAGUCGGGGGCAUCAGUAUUCAAUUGUCAGAGGUGAAAUCCUUGGAUUUAUUGAAGACUAACUACUGCGAAAGCAUUUGCCAAGGAUGUUUUCAUUAAUCAGGAACGAAAGUUAGGGGAUCGAAGACGAUCAGAUACCGUCGUAGUCUUAACCAUAAACUAUGCCGACUAGGGAUCGGACGAUGUUAUUUUUUGACGCGUUCGGCACCUUACGAGAAAUCAAAGUGCUUGGGCUCCAGGGGGAGUAUGGUCGCAAGGUUGAAACUUAAAGAAAUUGACGGAAGGGCACCACCAGGGGUGGAGCCUGCGGCUUAAUUUGACUCAACACGGGGAAACUCACCAGGUCCAGACACAAUGAGGAUUGACAGAUUGAGAGCUCUUUCUUGAUUUUGUGGGUGGUGGUGCAUGGCCGUUCUUAGUUGGUGGAGUGAUUUGUCUGCUUAAUUGCGAUAACGAACGAGACCUUAACCUGCUAAAUAGCCCGUAUUGCUUUGGCAGUACGCUGGCUUCUUAGAGGGACUAUCGGCUCAAGCCGAUGGAAGUUUGAGGCAAUAACAGGUCUGUGAUGCCCUUAGAUGUUCUGGGCCGCACGCGCGCU
rnacentral:rRNA from 1 species